CUACUUAUGAGAUAUUUUCUCUCUUACCA
rnacentral:tRNA from 1 species